UACGGAGGAUCCAAGCGUUAUCCGGAUUCACUGGGUUUAAAGGGUGCGUAGGUGGGCAGGUAAGUCAGCGAUGAAAUCCCCGAGCUUAACUUGGGAACUGCCAUUGAUACUAUCUAUCUUGAAUAUUGUGAGUAAGCGGAAUAUGUCAUGUAGCGGUGAAAUGCUUAGAUAUGACAUAGAACACCCAUUGCGAAGGCAGCUUACUACGCAUAUAUUGACGCGUGAGGCACG
rnacentral:rRNA from 1 species